AACUGAGAAGGAUAGGUGGCGAACGGGUGAGGUAACACGUGGGUAACCUGCCCAUAAGAGGGGGAUAACAUCCGGAAACGGGUGCUAAUACCGCAUAGUUUUCUUGAUCACAUGAUUGAGAAGGAAAGACGGCCUUUGUGCUGUCGCUUAUGGAUGGACCCGCGGCGUAUUAGUUAGUUGGUGAGGUAACGGCUCACCAAGACGAUGAUACGUAGCCGACCUGAGAGGUGAUCGGCCACAUUGGGACUCGAGACACGGCCCAAACUCCUACGGGAGGCAGCAGUAGGGAAUCUUCCGCAAUGGACGAAAGUCUGACGGAGCAACGCCGCGUGAGUGAAGAAAAGGUUUUCGGAUCGUAAAACUCUGUUGUCAGAGAAGAACAAGUUGGAGAGUAACUGCUCCAGCCUUGACGGUAUCUGACCAGAAAGCCACGGCUAACUACGUGCCAGCAGCCGC
rnacentral:rRNA from 1 species